rnacentral:lncRNA from 1 species
GGACAGCCUACACCAAGGGAAGAGUCAGGGGAGAAGGAACACAAGACUCCGGAAGCAUGCCAGCGUAUAAAACCACACUUUGCCUCAUUGGUUCGUGCCUCAGCUUCCAAUCUGGACAUGGAGCACAAUAACAGUGGGCCCACUGCUCUCCGAAUUCCUGCGCGCACUUGAAGGGAGUGUCUGGUGCAGGCAUGCAGGGAGGAAGAAUGACUCUGAGCUUGACCAUUCAACUUCGAAACUUUAACAUCAAUGGAUCAGCACACACUGGUGUACGGUCUGCUAUGCAUGCAGCCCUGUGCUAGGCAAAAGAAGUAUCAGACCAGGAACUGACAGCCUCACUGCAACAGGAAGAGAGGCUUCACACAAUAAGCGUUUCAUUCAACCAGGCUGGACCUGUGCUUAUUGAGUUGAACAUCACUGAGCACAAAAUGCAAGCCAGACACCAUAAGAGCUGUAAGGAUGAUAAAGAUGUCUUUCUACCCUCGAGAGCUCUAAGUGUGGUCAGGAGAGAAACACAUGCAAAGAUUAUGCUGGCUGGAAGGAAAUGCUGGAAUGAAGGUGGAAGGUACAUCCAGAAUGUUCUGGGGGUGAGGAAUAGCGAAUGAUGGGUUCUGACUUAGAACAUGAAGGGAAGGUAUUAAGAAAGAGGUGAUAUUAAGCAUUUAUUGAGCAUCUCUACUUUUUUUGUGUAUGUGACCUUGUUUGGAAAUACAAUAUCUCUUCUUGAUGCUGGCAAUGAA